rnacentral:rRNA from 1 species
AGUGAACGCUGGCGGCGUGCCUAAUACAUGCAAGUCGAACGAUGAAGUCCUAGCUUGCUAGGAUGGAUUAGUGACGCACGGGUGAGUAAUAUAUAGUUAAUCUGCCCUACACAGAGGAACAACAGUUGGAAACGGCUGCUAAUACCUCAUACUCCUAUUUGACAUAAGUUAAAUAGGGAAAGUCUUUUCGGUGUAGGAUGAGACUAUAUCGUAUCAGCUAGUUGGUAAGGUAAUGGCUUACCAAGGCUAUGACGCGUAACUGGUCUGAGAGGAUGAUCAGUCACAUUGGAACUGAGACACGGUCCAAACUCCUACGGGAGGCAGCAGUAAGGAAUAUUGCGCAAUGGGGGAAACCCUGACGCAGCAACGCCGCGUGGAGGAUGACACUUUUCGGAGCGUAAACUCCUUUUAUCAGGAAAGAAUAAUGACGGUACCUGAUGAAUAAGCACCGGCUAACUCCGUGCCAGCAGCCGCGGUAAUACGGGGGGUGCAAGCGUUACUCGGAAUCACUGGGCGUAAAGGACGCGUAGGCGGAUUAUCAAGUCUUUUGUGAAAUCUAGUGGCUUAACCACUAAACUGCUUAGGAAACUGAUAGUCUAGAGUAGGGGAGAGGUAGAUGGAAUUCUUGGUGUAGGGGUAAAAUCCGUAGAGAUCAAGAAGAAUACCCAUUGCGAAAGCGAUCUGCUGGAACCUAACUGACGCUGAGGCGUGAAAGCGUGGGUAGCAAACAGG